GGCGAACGGGUGAGUAAUACAUCGGAACGUGCCCGAUCGUGGGGGAUAACGAAGCGAAAGCUUUGCUAAUACCGCAUACGAUCUACGGAUGAAAGCGGGGGAUCUUCGGACCUCGCGCGGACGGAGCGGCCGAUGGCAGAUUAGGUAGUUGGUGGGAUAAAAGCUUACCAAGCCGACGAUCUGUAGCUGGUCUGAGAGGAUGAUCAGCCACACUGGGACUGAGACACGGCCCAGACUCCUACGGGAGGCAGCAGUGGGGAAUUUUGGACAAUGGGCGCAAGCCUGAUCCAGCCAUGCCGCGUGCAGGAUGAAGGCCUUCGGGUUGUAAACUGCUUUUGUACGGAACGAAAAGGUGCCUUCUAAUAAAGGGCGCUCAUGACGGUACCGUAAGAAUAAGCACCGGCUAACUACGUGCCAGCAGCCGCGGUAAUACGUAGGGUGCGAGCGUUAAUCGGAAUUACUGGGCGUAAAGCGUGCGCGGGCGGUUUUGUAAGACAGAGGUGAAAUCCCCGGGCUCAACCUGGGAACUGCCUUUGUGACUGCAAGGCUGGAGUGCGGCAGAGGGGGAUGGAAUUCCGCGUGUAGCAGUGAAAUGCGUAGAUAUGCGGAGGAACACCGAUGGCGAAGGCAAUCCCCUGGGCCUGCACUGACGCUCAUGCACGAAAGCGUGGGGGAGCAAACAGGAUUAGAUACCCUGGUAGUCCACGCCCUAAACGAUGUCAACUGGGUUGUUGGGGAUUAAUUUUCUCAGUAACGAAGCUAACGCGUGAAGUUGACCGCCUGGGGAGUACGGCCGCAAGGUUGAACUCAAAGGAAUUGA
rnacentral:rRNA from 1 species